GCGCCCGUAGCUCAAUUGGAUAGAGCAUUUGACUUCGGAUCAAAGGGUUGGGGGUUCAAAUCCUCCCGGGCGUACCA
rnacentral:tRNA from 1 species